AUUGAACGCUGGCGGCAUGCCUUACACAUGCAAGUCGAACGGUAACAGGUCUUCGGAUGCUGACGAGUGGCGAACGGGCGAGUAAUGCAUCGGAACGUGCCCAGUAGUGGGGGAUAGCCCGGCGAAAGCCGGAUUAAUACCGCAUACGACCUGAGGGUGAAAGGGGGGGAUCGCAAGACCUCUCGCUAUUGGAGCGGCCGAUGUCAGAUUAGCUAGUUGGUGGGGUAAAGGCCUACCAAGGCAACGAUCUGUAGUUGGUCUGAGAGGACGACCAGCCACACUGGGACUGAGACACGGCCCAGAGUCCUACGGGAGGCAGCAGUGGGGAAUUUUGGACAAUGGGCGCAAGCCUGAUCCAGCAAUGCCGCGUGCAGGAAGAAGGCCUUCGGGUUGUAAACUGCUUUUGUCAGGGAAGAAAUCUUCUGGGUUAAUACCUCGGGAGGAUGACGGUACCUGAAGAAUAAGCACCGGCUAACUACGUGCCAGCAGCCGCCGUAAGAC
rnacentral:rRNA from 1 species